GCACCAGCUGUGGCCUUCACCUCUUCUUCACGCUUCACUCUUCCCACAGGCUGAGAAACUCUUUUUAAGUCCAGCCUUGCACUCUAAUCAUCUCUGUUUUCCUGGAUGGAGGAAUACUGAGUAAUUGUCAGACAAUAGGAGUUCAGCAGGUUUCUUGGGCUGCUUGCAAGACCCAGGAGGCAGUGUUGUGCUACUGAAAGCAGGAGAACUUGAACCUUGCUUGGAGUGGCAUGUUUCCAGGACGCUUUGUGUGCUGCACAUUUGGCAUUUGAAGAGGGGGAGGAUUUCUUGUCUUUUCCAGCACUUCUUGAGAGCAUCUGGAAACUUCAUACCCAUCAUGUAUUUCAGGUGCUGGGCUGAGGAUGCUGAAUCCUACCUGUAUCAAGGACUUCUGCAAGGAUCCUUUCUUGUGGCCAAAAAUUGCUGUAUGGGAAUGAGUGCUCGUGUUCGUGUUUCUGAAUUUUGCACAUUACUUUCUACUUCAAUCAGAAAUUGUCAGUGAGUCUAAAUUGAAUGCAGCUUUUAUAUGUAUUUCUUUGGGCAUCAUGGCCAUAAACAAGGCUGGGUGGUUUCAAACCUGUCUGCCAGCAGUACCAACUUUCAUGCUGUCAUUCCUUUUUCUCCCUCUCCCUCCUCUCAGUUCCCAUCAUUUGGCCUUCUGACUUAACAAGAACUACUACCUGUUCUUUGGGAAAUGUUCUCGAUAUGAGUUACCCCGGAAAGUCUGAGAGGGUAAAUAUAUCUAGUUUAUUUUGAGGAAAUUUGCAUAGGUGACCAUAGCUCUUGCAUUUCUGAGAGCAUAUCCUCCUACCUAGCUUGUCAUCUUUAUGUAGGGCCACCAAGACUGCAGUAGCUCCUGCACAUGCAAAAUCUGCUUUGUUGAGUAAAUAUCAAUGCUUUUUGGAUGUAGACUUGUGUACACAAAAUCAAGGCUUGAAAUAAGAGAUUUGAGGAUAUAUGUGUCCCUCGCAUCUUGACCUUGGGAAUCAA